AUAGCUAGCUAGGUUAAGGUUGCUAGUAGGGGUUAGUCGCAUUCACUGAACCUGCUGUGCGGUCGUUCCAGAUUCGAUUAGGCAUUAGAUAUUGAGAUUUUAGUGUAGUGUAGAAUGGAUAUUGAAAGAGAAUAGAUGAUGGCCAGACACAGCAAGCUACAGCUCCAAGUCCUACAGCUGUACAAAACCUUCCUCCGGGUGGCGGAAAACAAACCAGGCGUGAAGGCUCAGAUACAGUACGAAUUCAGGAAGGGUGCCAAGAUGCCCCGCACUGACCUAAUGCGGAUAGAAUAUGUGGUACGGCGAGCAGAGAGACAGCUUAAGAUGCUUCAGACUGGGAGUGUAGAUCGAGCCGGAACAUUUACAAAUGAGAACGAAGAUACAAGCAGUGGCAUUGUGGGCGACUCAAGAAGUAACAGUGGUAGAUCAAGAUCAGAUUCAGAUAGGUGACCUAUGAUGUCGCUGAUGAGUUUCUCUAUAAGGACUCAGAAGAGCAGAAGUUAACAAAUGAUAAAGGAAAUACAAGCUUCAAAGUUUGUAGUGACUUGUUAGCAUAAAUUAGCUUUCACAGACAAUGUGGUUUUUAUUUGGGCUUUGAGGAGCAGAACUUACCAAAUGAGAAAGAAAGUACAGUUGGAAGUAGUGAUCUAAAAAAGCAUGAUUAGAUUCAGAGAGGUGACUGAUGUAGUCAAUGUGCUUUUUAGUUAUGACUCCAAGGAGCAGGAGUUUGCGAAUGAGAAAGGGGGUCACAAUUUGGAGUGAUUUUUAAAAUGCAUAUUAGAUUCAAAUAAGAGACCAAUGGUGCGGUCCAACUACUCCAUUGUGAGGCAAAAGGAUUGGACUGUGUGGGAUCAUUUCACAUUGGAAUGUUAUCCAUUGUUCACAGGAGAGUGUUACCUGAUGAGAAAGGAUCACACACAACUGUAGUACUGUACUCUCUUUGUGCCUAAUUUUCUCUUCUUUGCAAAGUGGAAUACACAUAAACUGGUUGAAUGGGAACAUGAAAUGAGUUUGUACUGAUUGGUUGAUUUGAGCUGGACUAUACUUUUUAAAAAAUGAUGCGGAAUUUCUUUUAAUGAUGAAUAUGUAAUCUUUUAUUUUUUUCAUUUCAAAGAUUAAAUGUUUUUUCACCUACA